UCACUUUACGAAUAGUUAUAAUUAAAUCUGACAAUCCAAUUUAGUUGACUAAGGCUUCCUUUGGAAUUGUGGGGAUAUUGCAUUAAGUACGGUGAGAAGGUACAUUAGAAAAAUACCCCGUUUGUUUUCAUACGUUAUAUUGCGUUCCACAUAUCGUGAUGAGUCAGUUAGAUGAGUCGGUUACGAUAUAUUUUCUGCGGUCCCACCGGAGAACGCAGAAGUAUAUUCAUAUAUGUUUUUUUCUCAUCUCCAUUUUAUCUAAUAGCGUUAGAUAAACCUAAAUAUCAAACUAAGCCUAAGUUCUACCACAACGUUGAUACAAAAGUAAUGUAUAAUUUUAAUUAUUGAUACAUCAUCGAUCACAAUAUUAUUACAUUAUCUCUACAUUAGCAAUAUAUCAAUAUCUAGCCAAUUAAAUUAGGUUAUAGUACCGUAACAAAUUAAAGUUUUAAAAUCAAAUUGUCACUAGCAUGAUAGUUUGAGGAUCAAACGUAAAAUUUAUCCCAAAAAAUGUGCUUUUCUUUUUUCUAAUAUAACAUAGAAAAUAUAUUGUAAUCGAUUCACGCAAUCUCUCUAUAAUUUCAAACAAAGUCUUGCACAUCUCUGCAAACACAUUGCUAUCUCC
rnacentral:lncRNA from 1 species